rnacentral:rRNA from 1 species
GAUGAACGCUAGCUACAGGCUUAACACAUGCAAGUCGAGGGGUAACGAGAGGGAAGCUUGCUUUCCUUGUCGACGACCGGCGCACGGGUGAGUAACGCGUAUCCAACCUGCCCCCAACUAGGGAAUAACCUUGCGAGAGUAAGACUAAUACCCUAUAAUUUCCUCAGAUGUCAUCUGACGAGGAAUAAAGAUUUAUCGGUUGUGGAUGGGGAUGCGUCUGAUUAGCUUGUUGGCGGGGUAACGGCCCACCAAGGCAACGAUCAGUAGGGGUUCUGAGAGGAAGGUCCACCACAGUGGAACUGAGACACGGUCCAAACUCCUACGGGAGGCAGCAGUGAGGAAUAUUGGUCAAUGGGCGGAAGCCUGAACCAGCCAAGUAGCGUGCAGGAUGACGGCCCUAUGGGUUGUAAACUGCUUUUAUACAGGAAUAAAGUUAGCCACGUGUGGUUAUUUGUAGGUACUGUAUGAAUAAGGACCGGCUAAUUCCGUGCCAGCAGCCGCCGUAA